rnacentral:lncRNA from 1 species
CUUCACUCUCUCUACUGCCCCUUCACUCUCUCUACUGCCCCUUCACUCUCUCUACUGCCCCUUCUCUCUCUCUACUGCCCCUUCACUCUCUCUACUGCCCCUUCACUCUCUCUACUGCCCCUUCACUCUCUCUACUGCCCCUUCACUCUCUCUACUGCCCCUUCACUCUCUCUACUGCCCCUUCACUCUCUCUACUGCCCCUUCACUCUCUCUACUGCCCCUUCACUCUCUCUACUGCCCCUUCACUCUCUCUACUGCCCCUUCUCUCUCUCUCUACUGCCCCUUCACUCUCUCUACUGCCCCUUCACUCUCUCUACUGCCCCUUCACUCUCUCUACUGCCCCUUCACUCUCUCUACUGCCCCUUCUCUCUCUCUCUCUCUCUCUCUCUCUCUCUCUCUCUCUCACUCUUCUUCCUCUCUCUUCUUCCACUCUCUCUCUCCAGAGAUGUCAUGACACAUGUUAUGGUCUGUGUCAAGGCAUGCACCCAAAUAGUAAACACAGCCAAGUUAAUCUGUGUUAUAACACCUUCUCUUCUCUCCUCCCUAGGUAACAUACCACCAGGCGUGAACCCAGAAGCGCACCAGUGGUUCCAGACAGUGGACACCGACCAUAGCGGCUCCAUCACUCUAAAGGGAACUGAAACAGGCUCUGGUAAACUCCAACUGGUCAGCCUUCAACGACGAGACCUGCCUUAUGAUGAUCAGUGAGUUAAACAGGGAGAGGGGGAUGGACAGGGAGGUAGAGAGAGAGAGAGGGAGGGGGGGAAUGAAAUAAAGAUGUAGGGGGAUGAUGAUGAUAAUGAUGACAUCUAUACUACUCAGCCACCAUACUGUUAACAGCUAGGUCGUGUUAAGUGUUCAUGUGAAUGGUACAGUGAGGGAAAAAAGUAUUUGAUCCCCUGCUGAUUUUGUACAUUUGCCCACUGACAAAGAAAUGAUAAGUCUAUAAUUUUAAUGGUAGGUUUAUUUGAAUAAAAUAAUGAAAAAGUAAUUGGGGGAUUGAAACCAGG